rnacentral:rRNA from 1 species
AGCAGCCGCGGUAAUUCCAGCUCCAAUAGCGUAUAUUAAAGUUGUUGCAGUUAAAAAGCUCGUAGUUGAAUUUCGGGGUUAGUAAGUUGGUCAUGCCUCCGGUAUGAACUGGCUUUACUGAUUCCUCCUUCUUGAUGAACUGUAAUGUCAUUAAUUUGGUGUUGCAGGGAAUCAGGACUGUUACUUUAGAAAAAUUAGAGUGUUUAAAGCAGGCAUACGCUUGAAUACAUUAGCAUGGAAUAAUGAAAUAGGACGUUUGAUCCUAUUUUGUUGGUUUCUAGGAUUGACGUAAUGGUUAAUAGGGAUAGUUGGGGGCAUUAGUAUUCAAUUGUCAGAGGUGAAAUUCUUGGAUUUAUUGAAGACUAACUACUGCGAAAGCAUUUGCCAAGGAUGUUUUCAUUAAUCAAGAACGAAAGUUAGGGGAUCGAAGACGAUCAGAUACCGUCGUAGUCCUAACCAUAAACUAUGCCGACUAGGGAUCGGAUGAUGUUAUUUUAAUGACCCAUUCGGCGCCUUACG